GAGUCCCUAGCCUCGAUCCCAGGCCGAGUUUUCGCUUUUAUAACGGUUAGGCGAACAACUGGGCCUGGUACUAGUUGUCUGCGCAUGCGUCAAUCGUUCGUCAGAUUCUGACGAAUGGAUAUUCUUGUUCACUUUCGUGACAUUUAUAUUCGUGUACUAUCGUGUACUAGAAGUCAGUUCCCGUUUUAUCAUUAUUGGAAUCGAUUGGAAUGGCUCUUAGCUGAAGCUUCUCUCUUCUCUGAAGCUUAUUCUGAAGACUGAACAACAAGGGAAGAGGUAUAAAGCUUUGUCAAGCUUGUUAAGGUCAGAUAUUUUUGUGUGGGCCCUAUGGCCGGCUAUGCUAUCAAGUCUUGUUCAUGUUUGGCAAGAAUGUAGGUAGACUAUAGUUUCAUCAUUAAUAUGGUGGAUCAAGUGAAGAGUGUGAGCUAGAGAACUUGGUGCUGCCAUCAUCAGCUCGUCGACAAUGACACUAUAACCGAGAAAUUUAAUAUGUAUAGAUCUACACGUAUUUAAAAUGUCUACUUCUCUGUACAGGAGCAAUGGCUAAUAUCCAGCUAUCCCAACAGUGCUCCUCUUGGCUAUACUAACGGACGAGACUGGACAGUUUGAGACACAGGACUGGAGUAUGACCUGCUCAUUCGAGCGUUGCUGGGUAGCUCAGAGACAUCAAGAGAAUCUACGUUUUCUCAAGCAAUGAGUUACGAGUUGGGGC